rnacentral:rRNA from 1 species
AUUGAACGCUGGCGGCAGGCCUAACACAUGCAAGUCGAGCGAGCGGCGGACGGGUGAGUAAUGUUUGGGGAUCUGCCCGAUAGAGGGGGAGAACUACUGGAAACGGUGGCUAAUACCGCAUACUAUCGGAUGUGCCCAGAUGGGAUUAGCUAGUAGGUACGGUAACGGCUUACCUAGGCGACGAUGCAUAGCUGGUCUGAGAGGAUGAUCAGCCACACUGGGACUGAGACACGGCCCAGACUCCUACGGGAGGCAGCAGUAGGGAAUAUUGCACAAUGGGCGCAAGCCUGAUGCAGCCAUGCCGCGUGAGUGAAGAAGGCCUUCGGGUUGUAAAGCACUUUCGGUCGGGAAGCGUUACCCACAGAGGAAGCACCGGCUAACUCCGUGCCAGCAGCCGCGGUAAUAC